rnacentral:lncRNA from 1 species
CAUGACUCAGGGCAUUAUUAGCAAGGGAGACACCAGGGAAGAGUUUUGAGCAUGGCCAGCCCUUGUGGCCUCAGUGGGGCAUUCCAUCGCCCCUCAGUGUUCCUUGAGGGAUGGAUUCGAGGCAUCCCUCCUCCAUCAAAUAGCAAAAUAUGUGAUGCCCAAGUCCUUCCCAGGAAAUAGUAUGUGUGCAUGUGCCCUUGCAAUCCUCUCAGGUACCUGAAUCACCUCUUGAUUAAUCCUAAAAUCUAAAACAGUGGUCACACUGCCUUGUUUAGGGAAUGAUGGUAAGAAAAAGCCUGUGCACACUCAGUACAGGCAGGAUUCUUUUCUAGAACGUUCUCCAUCCACAGUUGGUUGAAUCCCAGGAUGCAGAGGUCUGGCAGCACUGGGUGGGAAAUGGUGACCCUGGCCCUGACCCCGCAGUCUCUCAGCCCCAGUGCCAGACACCUCAUCACCUGCUCCUCAGUCCUUUGCUGCCCCAGAGGGUGUUCUGUGUCCAAUUCCAUUUCCAGGGAAAGAAGCUCUGAUUGGUCCAACCUGGUGAGACCUUCUCCUGUCAUCCAAUCAGCCACAGCAGGAGGGAGGACUGAGUGACAUCACGGCCAGGAACUUGGAGGGUGGCCCCUUCAGGAGGGCCCUGCGAAGUGGGACGCUGGAGCUUGUUUUCUUUCUUUGUUUAAAAUGAUUGGUCAUCUCAUUAACCACCAAGAUGGCAGAAGUCAGAAUCCAGUCGGACUGCCUGACACUUAUUUAUGUAAUAAAUAAAAUAGAUCAGUGUGGCUUUUAUUUGGAAUGACAUAGUAUCACCGGGGAACUCCAAGGAUUUCCCCAGGAGAGGGACCUCAACCCAGGAUGAGUGGUAAAUUUUCAGUAGCUUUAAGAUUUUGAGUGAAGAUUUGCAGGUUUCCAGAAAUCUAGGGUUGACAGGAUGAGGAGAGGAAUUGGCUUGGGGAGUGACAAUUCUGGAAGAAAAACUGAUCUGGAGAGUGAGAGUAUGAGGACCAGGCCUUUGGAUUAAAG